AGCAUCCUUUGUCAUUGGGGGCUGACUUGGUCCUUCAUUCAAUGACUGAAUAUUUGAAUGGUCACUGUGAUGUGUUGAUGGGGGCAUUGUGUACUAAUGAUAAGGAGAUUCAUAAAAAAUUGAAAUUCCUACAAUUAGAAUGGUUUUAUAUUGGAAGGAUUAUUAUUAUGGAAG